GGGCCCAGAGGCAUUAUCUGUCCUCGUCCUUCAGUGGGAACACACGGGUUGUUCAACAAGUGCUUCUCCCCCCGGCACCCAGGCUCAGCACAAAUGUGUGUCCUACCCCCUGAGGUUCUUCCAAAGGGGAGCCAGGACACAGGCUCCUGAUGGAGGGUGAGUCACAGAACACGUCACCAGAAAACAAACUCUAGUAACCUCCUGUGAGCUGCAUUUCACACUGCAAAUAGGCAAGUUUUCCCAAAGCCAGAACUUAUCCACUAAUCUCUUACUGGCAGGUACACAUCUCUCCUCCUCCUCCUCACGACAUCAGGGCUGUGCUAUGCACGAUAUGUCCCCAGGAGCACCUUGAAAGGUCACUCCAAAACAAAGUACAAAGUUACAAUAGGUACAAAUGUUCUGACUGCUGAUGGACACGGAUAAGAAUUGGUGCUUAUGGAGUGACAGAUCCAGGAUGAUUCCCAAGACAGCUGUUUGCAGCUGCAAAAGGUUUCCAGUGCCCUCAGUACCAAUCACCCAUCUUCAGCACAGAAGUCUUCAGUUUAUUAUUCUGCAACUGUGUCUAGCAAGACCUCAGUUUCCUGUUGCCUGCUGAUCAGACACCAAGUUAUGGAAGAAUCUCUGGCAUGAUGCUACUGUAGUCUAUGAUUUUCAGAGGAAGGAUCCAGGCUGAAAGCUUUCUGGUGACAUUCCAAGUAAGCUGUCAUGAGAAGAGAAUCCAACACCCAAGACCUCAGUGCUUAGGGAAAAUCAGAGGGUUUCAUCUACUCAGAAGAAAAGAGUAGAACUAUAAAUGCUAACUCAGUAAGUCCCCAGGAAUGAGCAUGUGCCAUGCUGAGACUGAAUGCAUCAUUAGCAAUUCCCUGGGGCCGGAUGUCUAUUUCAGACUGCACAGUGUAACAGCUCCAGGGAACGUACAGCCAGAGGAUGCUGAUAAUUUCACAGUUUCUGCUUCCCUGUGAGGCAGAAAAUAGAAGUGCUCUGAAGCUCUUUCCCAGGAACACAGAAGUAACGUUUUCCAAAGCCAUCAAAAGGAGAGGAAGAUAGGUGUGUUCUCUGCAAUCUGGGAGAAAGGGAAACAGAAUAAUCUGCUGCUCUGGCUGCUAAAGGAGGCUUUUGGCUGAUCAGCAAGCUGUGUGGACUGAAGCUAUGGAACUGGUCCCUUGCAGAAAAGAUUUUGUGGAGGCAUAUGAGGUUGAGAUGGAUAUCUCAGAAGCACGUAGGGUCCACAGUGGGUUCGCACCACACUAGUGCCUCCCCUUGCAGCACAGAUUAAAAUGCUCCUAGUACAUCCACACUUUAUCACAGGCAACCCAUGGGAAAAACUUCCAGGACAGAUGACUCAAGGUAAUUUGGUAGUGUGACUGCAUCCUCAGAAAGAGCAGACAAAAAGGGAAAGGCAGACAGCCAGGCGGUCUCUAGCACACUGAGGUCAAAUUCCCCUUUCUGUCACUCUCGGCUAUGGGAAAGUUGAGGACGACAGAGAGGUACCAGACACACUCCCGUGUCUGCUGGCAGAGAUGGGCGAGGCCCCAGGCAGACUGAAACACAUGCUCCUGUGAGCACAACCAUGCAAUCUCUGCCAUCAGAAAGAU
rnacentral:lncRNA from 1 species